UCGAAUUGACACGGGAGCUGUGCACCGAGGAAUCGUGGUACGGCUGAGAUGAGGGUGACCUCGACCGAUUGAACGUGAGUCCAGGUAAUGCUGGCGCACGGACGUCUCUUUUCCCGUGCC
rnacentral:ncRNA from 1 species